rnacentral:rRNA from 1 species
AUUGAACGCUGGCGGCAUGCCUUACACAUGCAAGUCGAACGGCAGCACGGGGCAACCUGGUGGCGAGUGGCGAACGGGUGAGUAAUGCAUCGGAACGUGCCAUUGAGUGGGGGAUAACGUAGCGAAAGUUGCGCUAAUACCGCAUAUUCUGUGAGCAGGAAAGCAGGGGACCGCAAGGCCUUGCGCUCUUUGAGCGGCCGAUGUCAGAUUAGCUAGUUGGUGAGGUAACGGCUUACCAAGGCGACGAUCUGUAGCGGGUCUGAGGGGAUGAUCCGCCACACUGGAACUGAGACACGGUCCAGACUCCUACGGGAGGCAGCAGUGGGGAAUUUUGGACAAUGGGCGCAAGCCUGAUCCAGCCAUGCCGCGUGAGUGAAGAAGGCC